UGAAUUUCGUGGAUUCGUGGCCAGCUAGAUGGGAUGUUUCUUUCAGUGCAUCCCUCCACUUCUGAACCAUUUCUGGCUUCUCUUUGAACUGUUGUUCGAGCUUAUCAAAACCGUGCCCAAAAAUUCCAGCUUGAUGCCGAACAUCGGACGGACUUACGCUAUAGAAAACUGGAAUAACGAUUUGGCCGUUUGUGUGCUUGCAUUCAAGAAUCUUGACAAGUUCAUUCAGGCACCAUUUUGAAGAAGCGUAGUCCUUUGAGAAAAUGACGACCGAAAUUUUCGAACCUUCGAUUGCGUUCAAAAGAGCAGGUGAAAUCUCAUCUCCUCGCCUAAGCUCUUCAUCAUCAAUAAACGUUUUGAUUUUCGUUCUUUCAUUCAAAUUAUAAUAGAGAUGGCAUGUAAAGCUCACGCGAGUGUCCUCUCCUCUGAAACUGAGGAAUACAUCAUAAUUGCAACAAGAAGAAGAGGAAGCCAUGAAGGAAAUUUUAGAAAUUUGGUGACAGAAACAGAGAAUUAAUCUUGAGAGUUGAGAGGGGAUAUGUAAGAAUGAAAAUGCGUAAAUAGUAAAUGAUUGAAUUAAUCUGGCGAGUAAAUAGUAAAUAAUUGAAUGGCCGGAGCUUUCUUAGUUUCCUGGAAAUUUCCUGGAGCUUUCGUAUACAUGAUUUGUCAAGUCAAGAAACAUAAUCAUGAUAAUGGGGCAGACCAGGAAGGAAAGAAAAUUUGAUCCAACCAAUAAAGGAAGGAAAAGUAAAGAAAGAAAAUUUGAAAGUAGAUUCAGAGAAUUAUAAAAAGCUAAAGGAUAUUGGAAUUUUGUACAAUUUCUCUAUUACAGUUUGGAUUAAGAUUUGAGCAAGCGGCCAAAACUACAUUGCGUCAGGGCUUUGGUGCCACACUCGUUUGUCUGUUAGUAGCAUUGGAUUUGAUCUGACGGCUGCAGAAGAGACACAAACAUAAAGAGGAGUAACCUGAGGAAAAGGUAAUAAGCCGGUUACCUGCAGAAAAUAAGUGCAUGAUAAAAUAACACAAGUAAUGAACACAAUGGAAGCGUAUAUGCAAGUAAUGGUUGGAAACAACUUGCUGGAAGCGUGCAAGUAUUGGUUGGGCACAGACCGACAUUAAAUUUCGCAAAUAGUGUCUGAAACAUUUGCAAAUACUUAAUUCAAAACGUCAAUAAAUGCUGGAAAAAAUACAUAUUUUUUUAUUUUUUAUUAAGAAUACAUUUAAAAAAAGAAUAAUUAUUAAUGGUACAUAUUUGUAACAAUUAUACCAAAAACAAUUAUCCAUAUAUUUAAAAAAAAUGUUAACAAUACAUAUUUUUUAGAAGUAUACAUAUUAUAUCAUAAAAAAAUUGAGUUGGAGCUUCGACAAGUAGAUCUUAAAAAACUAAGGUUGAAUUUUGGAGGAGCAGAUUCGGUCGUGGAGUAACAUUUGUUUAUUAUUAUUAAUUUAUUUUGGUAGUCCUAGUGAAACAUCGUUGUUUCACAUAGAUGAUGUCGCAGUUUGAUAGACGGGAUGACAUGUGAUUUUUUAUCAAAUAUAUCGGGCCACAUGGCAUUUUUGACUAGGUGAAUGGAGUGACAUGUUAAUUUUUUUUUUUUUUAAUCAAAGGUUCUUCUAUCUUAGAAGACUAGAUUAGCCUUAUGAUGUCAAGACUUGGAAACGACAACUAACUGACUAGUGGAUAGCAGACACAUGUUGUCAACUUAGGGUAUACAAGGAUACAUGUUAAAAGUAUUGUAGUAUAUGUGAUACAAGUGUCAUGGAAGGCUAUAUGAGUGAUAAUUACUCAUUAAACUAUAAGUUGCAAUAAUUUAACACAACAAGUGCCAAUUAAAAUGUAAUAAUUUAAAAAAAAUUAGGUAUUCUCCGUCUGUCUCCCUCUCAAUCAAUGUGUCCUACUUUGAAUGUUAAUAUUUAUUAUCAAACAUAAAAAAAUUCUAAAAUAUUAAAAAAAAAAAACAGAGUCUUCUAGGCACAUAAAUUAGAGUAGUUUCGUGAACAAAGAACUUGAGAAAGAUAAUGGUGGCACUCUCUUAGAAGGAAUCUAUGGGGUUAAUGUUUUCUUCCCUAUGUCUAUUUUAUGUAUCUUAGUUUCAAAAACAAGAUGUACACAAUUAGGGGUUGGUUAAUGCAGUUAAAACGGUGGAAAAAGGCUUAUAGAAAUAAAAUAUAAUUGUAAUGCAGUGUUUGGUAUGAAUAAGUAAACUAAAAAUAAGACAAUUGGGUAUACGAAUUUAUAAUGCGAUAAUAAUAUUUUUUCCCUAAGACGACCCGUAGGGUAAGAUUAUAGACUAAAUUGUUGUGUUAUGUUAAUGAUACGAUAUAAAAGUGUUGUUUUAGAAGCUGUAAAAGUUAGUUAAUGUGAAAUUUGUUUUUAAAGGUAAUUGUCUUGUAACCCCUUGUUUUUAAGGGUAAGAUUAUAGACGCAAUUUGUUUGUUUUGAAAAAAAGUCCCUUAUGUUGAGCUGGACUUUUUUUCGUCUUCACAAGUCCCUUUUGCCGAGCUGGAAUUUUUCUGACAGAGUCUCCGUUUGUUCCCAUAAUAGCGGCGAGAAUCUGGCCGAGCCUCGAUGAUAGCUCGUUGCUACGACACGUGACUGUGUCCAUUGAGUCUCUAUUCGAAAUCCAAAUGUCGACGACAACGGCCGCCUCCACUAACGGUUCUCAAAUCACGCCGUGCGUUGAUGACGUGGCGGUGGCAAUUAACAACAAUAACUUCAACUCGAAGGAGAGAUUCAACGACCGUGAUUUUUUGUUGAAGCAGUCGUAUUCGUUUGGAUUCGAGCGGAGUCUUGCAUCGAAGAGGAUGGUGAUGGAGGCGGUAAUGGCGUUGCCGUGGAAGUACAAGAGGGGGAGUUACUGGAGCAAACAGUCGUCUCCGUUUGGCUCAUUGACGAAGUCUAGAGUCUUCUGGAGCAAAGGAUUAUAUACUUAUCCUCUUUGUUUUCCUUUUACUGAUACUGUAGCUUUAGCCGAUUACCCAUUUUCCAAGUGUUAAACAUGAGCCGUUGUUACCUUUCUUUACUAUCUAAAUGGUCAUUCGCAAAAGGACAAAUGACUAGGGUAUCAAACCCCUUACGCAAUGUAGCUGGACCCUUAGCAAAGCAUUCACCUAAAUCUUACCUCCGCUGUAAAUUCUUAAGUUUUGAAAAUUAUGAGACCUUUAUAUUGGGAGAUAUUAUAAUCAAAUGAAAAGUUAAAAUUUUAAUAUUGUUAAUAAAUGACAAAGCCAUUUCAUUUCUCUUUUACAUGUUAUUAAUUUUUGUAACACGGGGUGGCAACAUAAGCAUAAUCAAGUAAAGCAAAAGGGUUUCAAAUUAUGGUGGUAAAACGUGAAGAAGGAUGCCAACUGAAUAAUUCCUUCCACAAAACGAAAAAUAAUCACAGAAAAAGGAAUCUCUUAUAAAAUGUUUGCGUAUUUUUUAUAAGGUUUGAAACUUUAGGUGGUCGGUAAAUGAUUUCUUAAUUGAAUAAUAUAUAAAAAAGCUAAUUAUUUAUAAUUUUAAAUAAUCUGAAUUUGUAUGUUAGAAAUUUCAUCUCUUUUAUUUUUGAGAAUUUUUCAUAAAGAAUAGAGAACAUAAUGUUAACAUUUAAAGUAACACAUCUCAAUCGUCGAAAUUAUUUUUCUAUUAAAUCCAACGAUAACGAAUUAAUGUCAGAAAAGGACAAAAUUAGUGGUGGCUUGCAAUAAUUGCAAGGUAGCUUUUGUAAAGACAGAAAUGUGAUGGAUUCAAAAAGAAAUUGAAGUGAUAAUGUACGUGGAUCCUUAAAAUAAAAAGCCGAAUCGCUUGGUGGCCCAGUAAAAUUACGAUUUGAAUUUUUUUUUUUUUUUUUUUUACACAAUGUGUCAAGCACAUAAAUGACGAAAGCCAUUUCAUUUCCCUUUCACACGUCAUUAACUUUUGUAACACGGUGUGUUCAUCGUCAAGUGAGGCAAAAGGGUUUCCAUUACAGUGGGAAAACAUGAACAAGAAUGCAUAAUGAAUAAUUCCUUCGAUAAAGCGAAAAUUAAACAUAAAAUAAUCCUAAAAUUUAAACUCUAAUAUCCUUCGAUAAUGUAUUGAUUAAAAAUAAUCCUAAGAGUUUCCAAUUGAAACUUCCGUAAGUAUUUUUAUUGUUUUGGAUAAACAAAUUGCACUAGGAUAAAAAUUUGGUAAAUUCAGAGGAUAAUAGAAAAUAGCUAUGGUUCAAUAGGCCAAAGAUUAGAGAACAAACAAGAAUUAGUUAUUGAUAUACAAAAGAGAAACACUCCAAAAUUUCAAGCAAAAAUAGUUUCAUAUACCAUUUCGAUUUUGGAAGGGGUGAGGUUUUGAAAUUCAAUAGUUUCCUCUAAAAUCAAAAGGCAGCAAUUAAGUUAGAAAGAGCAAAGAAGACUUAUUGGUACCUUAUUGAAGCUGAACAUUAUGGAACUUUCAAUGUCAUUACCUCACUGUUCAAUUUUUAUUGAGAUUUGUGCAAGCAUUUACCUAAAUUUUACCUCCGCCUGUAAAUUCAUAAGUUUUGAAAAUUUUGAGACGUUAUAUUGGGAGAUAUUAUAAUCGAACUAAAACUUAAAAUUUCAAUAUUAUUAUUCUUUGAAAAAAAAAUGAGAUAUCAGAGUAAUAUCACAUAGAAUGGUAAGCCAAAAGUCUAAUCAACCACAUGCAUAAAGCUAACUAGAACAAGUGAACAGAGAAACGCGUGGGUCCCUAAAAGAAAAGGCAAGCACAUAAAGAAAACGGAAAACAAACGCCAGAGAAAAGAAUUUCUUAUAUGCCUUGAUAUUGAUUAAUAUUCAGCGAUAGCUUAAUGCUUACCAUCAAGCAACUUUGAAAGCAGGAAGCUAUAUAUGACAAGAAAUCAAAGUAAUGUGAAGGAACAUGAUGAUGAAAUUGCAGGCCAGCACAAAAACACCCAUACCCCUGAUUUGUUUAAAUGUACACGAAGACCUUAAGGUUUGGUAAAAGAAAAUUGAAUUUAUAUUGUAUUAUAAUACAAUUUUUUUUAAACCAUCAAUGAUAAAAUCUUCUUACUUUUUUCCAUCCUUUGGAUCAAUAAGUACAAAUUUCUCAUCUAAAUCUUCAUACUUUUUACAAAUGACUUUUGUGCCAUAGAUUUUUUUUUUCUUUUUUUGGUUUUGCCGAAAAAACAAAACAAAUUCAUAAACAACAUUGUAUUUCACCAAUUAACAGUGCAAGUGUCAUUAUAGUUUCCACAUUUUAGUUCUGUUUUUUUUAGUUUCAUUUUCUUUCUGUUAUGUAACUGAUGUUUCAUUGCUAUAAAAUUAAUUGUCUGUUUCUCUUCACAACUGUUAUUUUGAAUGAUUUUUUCUGAAUUUUAUAAACAAUUUGUAUAUGACAGGAAAUGAAGCAGAGUGCGAGCAACUUGUAUGGAUUCCUAAAAGGUCUGGUCAGAGUGUUCCUUUCAAUGCAUACAUCUGGCGGCGAGGGACUAUUCCAAUAUGGUGGGGUGCAGAAUUAAAGCUUACUGCUGCUGAAGCAGAAAUUUAUGUUGCAGAUCGGGAUCCUUAUAAAGGAAGUCUGCAGUAUUAUCAGAGGUUGAGUAAUCGAUAUGAUGCUCGAAACUUUGACUUAGCUGUUGGGGAAAAUCAGAAGAAAAAGCCUUUUAUUCCAAUUGUAUGCAUUAACUUGCUUAGGAAUGCGGAAGGGAAAUCAGAAUCUAUUUUAGUUCAGCAUUUUGAGGAAUCUUUGAACUAUGUCAGAUCAACUGGAAAACUUCCUUAUACUCGAAUUAUUUUAAUAAAUUAUGACUGGCAUGCCAGUACAAAAUUAAAAGGUGAACAACUUACAAUUGAAGGAUUAUGGAAGCAUCUAAAAGCACCCACUCAGGCCGUAGGCAUUUCUGAAGGGGACUAUUUGCCAUCACGGCAACGACUUAAUGAUUGCCGAGGUGAAGUCAUCUGCAAUGAUGACUUUGUGGGUGCCUUUUGCUUAAGAUCCCAUCAGAAUGGAGUGAUACGCUUUAACUGUGCAGACUCUCUUGAUCGGACCAAUGCUGCUAGUUAUUUUGGUGCUCUGCAAGUAUUUGUGGAGCAAUGUAGGCGGCUUGGGGUCUCCCUUGACAGUGAUUUUGCAUAUGGCUAUCAGUCAGCUAAUAACUAUGGUGGAUAUACUGCUCCUUUGCCACGAGGAUGGGAGAAACGAGCUGAUGCAGUGACAGGAAAAACAUAUUAUAUCGAUCACAACACUAGGACCACAACAUGGAUUCAUCCAUGCCCAGACAAACCUUGGAAGAGAUUUGAUAUGACAUUUGAGGAGUUCAAGCAUUCAACAAUUUUAUCACCAGUGUCUCAGCUAGCAGAUCUUUUUCUGCUUUCUGGUGAUAUCCAUGCAACCCUUUAUACUGGUUCAAAAGCAAUGCAUAGCCAAAUUCUUAAUAUAUUCAAUGAAGAACCAGGAAAGUUCAAACAAUUUUCUGCAGCACAAAAUAUGAAAAUUACUCUGCAGAGAAGAUACAAAAAUGCAGUUGUCGAUAGCUCUCGUCAGAAACAGCUGGAGAUGUUUCUUGGAUUUAGGCUGUUCAGUUCAUUUUUUUGUGGUAGAAAUGUCGUCAUUUUAAAUUUAGUGUAUUUUCAAAAAGCUUAUUUUCUCAGAAUAUAAAAAAUAAAAAAAUAAAAAAAGAAUUCUUACAUGUUUCAUCAGCAUGAUUAAAAUCGAAGAAGAAAGCGAGACAUAAUGUCUCUGACAUAAUAAAAUUACAAAAAUUUCAAGGAAAAAAAAGAAGUUAAAACAUGUAAUCUUCAGAAGCAUAUAAUAAAAGAGCACUUCCACAAAUUACUACAAUUUCAUGCAGUAGAGAUUGAAGAGUUGAAUUCCACUUAUAGACACCGACCUCUUGUUUUGUCUAAUGUUAAAAUUACAACCUCUUGCUUUGACUUAUUAGCAGGUUUCAAAAGUAAUAAGGAAUACAUAGAUAAAACAUCAUCUUAAACAAAUCACAAUCUAGAAUUAGAGCAUUUUCGACAUACCUAAGGACCACGAAUACGUGAAAACGGGUGACUCAUUUGUUAAGAAGUGUUGAUUUGAUCGGCUCUGCAAAUUCUCUUGGGACUCGGUUCCAAUUCCUCUUCAUCCGAAGUUCCACUCGCGCUUGGAAAAUCAUCCAAUUUCCAAACUUCGGUAGCAAAAUUGAGAGUAAAAGUGUUGGCUUUGAUCUCGCUGGGAUUUGCAUAUACUGGACAUACUCCGUAACGUUUUAUCUUGCAAUCCUUUUGGCUUCGGUAACACUUAUUGAAGAACUUAAGUGAGACAGUUGUAUGAUGGUAACCAUCGGGAAAGCCAACAUUCAAGCAAGGUUUAAAACCAAGUAUGACAUGAUCGGAAUCAAGGGAGUAUCUAGUGGGCAAAUCGAAACCCAGAUCAACAUGUUUGGUUUCAGAGAGAGUCUUUAUUUCUAAGUCGAAUUGACGGUAGAAGUAAAAAUCACACAUACAACGAGAAUAAACUUUCUUAAAAUCAAGAACAGCACAAAAAGCAAACCCGAUUAAGUUUCUGAAAAAAGAGUGCGGUGGCAGUUGAAUAUAUAUCGAAGAUCCUGAACUUUGAUUGCUGAACCAGUCAGGAAUUUCGCCCCCAGGUAAAACAAUUAGGGAUCCCCUGAGUUCUGAAAGUUUCUGUGAAAUGACAUUUAAAAAAAGAAAAUUGUAAAAUGAAAACCAUGAUUUCAGAUAGGGAUAUUAUCAUUUUUCCACCAAAGGUAUUCUGACACAUCAUGUCAGUACCACGGUUUGGUAAAACUAUCAAUUUACCACCAAACGUUUAAACUGUUAGGAUUUUCCCACUAUUCCGUUAAAACUCAGUUAAUAUGUAACGGAAAAUUUCUAAAAAGUCAAUUUUACCCCUGGAGCAUAAAAGACCAUAUAAUUAACUUUUUAUGAAUUUUGUAAUUAAAUCAUCAUUUGUUGUUCUUCCUUCUUAAAGGACAAAAAUUACCCUUUAUAAAUUUUAUAAAAUUGGCCGUGUAGUGCUAGGUACUUCAUAAAUUAAUUUAAUUUUUAAAGGGCAAAUUUAUUUAUUAAAUUGAUGAGCUCAAGACAAUUUAUUCUACUACUAAAAAUCAAUUUAUGAAAGGGAAAAAAAAAAGAAUGUGCAAACGAAGUAAUUUAAUCUUUGAUAUGAUGAUAAUAAUUUUACACAAAAAAUUAAAUAAAUAAAUUUUCCCUUUAAAAAUUAAAUAAAUUAAAUCAAUUUAUGAAGUACCAAAUACCACACGGUCAAUUUUACAAAAUUCAUAAAUGGUAAUUUUUGUCGUUUAAGAAUAAAGAAUAACAAAUGAUGAUUUAAUUACAAAAUUCAUAAAAGGUUAAUUAUAUGGUCUUUUAUGCUCAGGGGUAAAAUUGACCUUUUAGGAAUUUUCCGUUAGAUAUUAACUGAGUUUUAACGGAAUGGUGGGAAAAUGCUAACAGUUUAAACGUUUGGUGGUAAAUUGAUAGUUUUACCAAACCGUGGUACUGACAUGAUGUGUCAGAAUACCUUAGGUGGGAAAAUGAUAAUAUCCCUUUCAGAUAUAACAAAGAGGGACAGAGUAAACAAGAGAGGGAAUUUGAUACCUCGUUGAUUGCCUUUUCAUAGCCCAGUCUCAGUGAUGCAAUUGCCAUAUGCCGAAUUCUUAGUUGUGAAUCUGCCAAAAUCUUGUUGUUUGCUUUUCCAUUCAGUUUCAAGCAGUUAGUAAACCCAAAAUAAAUUGGUUGUGACUCCAGACAUCCCGGUGCCCAUUGACGAAGGUCAGGAGAGGGUUUCGAUAGCUUUUCGAGUACGGAUGCAUCUAGUUCUUGUAGACAUGACGGAAUCUCUGGCAAAGAUUGGAGCCGGUUGCAGUUCCUUGCAUUUAGUGAUUGUAGACACAAUGAAAGUUCUGGUAAUGACCGAAGCAUGUUACAAUCCUCCAAGUUAAGAUAUUUUAGACACAAUGGAAGUUCUGGUAUUGACCGAAGCAUGUUACAACCCGUCAAGGCAAGAGAUUCUAGACACAAUGGAAGUGCUGGUAAUGACUGAAGCAUCUUACAAUCCGUCAAGUCAAGAGAUGUUAGGCACAAUGGAAGUUCUGGUAAUGACUGAAGCAUCUUACAAUUCUUCAAGUCAAGAGAACUCAACUGCGACAGUUGCUUGAUACUUGCAGGUAAACUCUCAAAGUUAUUUCCACUUAGAUGCAAGCCUGUCAGUGAGGAUAGACAGGCAAUCUCUUGUGGAAUUUCCAUUACAGCACAGUCACUUAUAUCUAGAAGUCCCAAAGAAGAUAAACCUAAUAAUAAUGAUCGAGGCAAUGAUGCCAAACCUUUGCAGCUAGAGAAAGAAAGAAUUCCAAGUACGUUUGAAUCUGUAACAGAGGAUGGUAGUUGACUAAUAGCUGAUUUAGCUGCUGAGAUGUAAUACAAAGAUUCUAAAUUGCCAAUGUUAUCCGGCAACUUAUCAAGUUUAGAGCAACCAUUUAUGAACAAUGAUUCAAGCCCCGGUAGAUUUUCAAAUGACGAUGGCAGCUCUGUAAUUGCCGUCCGGUCUAAAUAGAUGCGUUUUAAAUGUUCCAUUUUCUCCAAGAUUUCUGGGAAACGCUCAAGAUUCAAGCAGCCAAGAAGAAUAAGCCGAACCAAAGAUCUCAAUUUACAAAACCUAGUUGAAAUCCUCUUCAGCCGUUUGCAACCCAUCAAAUCCAACACUUCAAGAUCAGUUAGGCACUCUAUUGAUGAUGGAACUUCUUCUAUUGCAGACUGGUCUAAGUAUAGCCGUGUAAUUUUCCCAGAAAUCUGUGGAAACUCUAUGAGAUUAACACAAGAGGAGAAAUUAAUAGUUACUGGACAAACAAAAUGAAGAUUGCUUGGAAAAGACCUAAGACUUUUGCAGCCCUUAAAAGACAACGCACUGAGAAACUUGAAAUUCUGGAUAGAUGAGGGAACACAAGCCUUUUCUCCUUCCCAAGGUUGCUCAACUUUACUAAAACGCAAAUUCAGUUCAACAAGGUUCUUUGGCUUGAAAUUUGAUGGCAGUGUCCUUAAUGGAUAUGUGUCCCAAUGAAGAUAUCUCAAUUUUUUAGGAAGAUAAUAUAGGCCUUUUGGAAGCUGCACUUUAGAGUAUGAAAGUUGCUCUUCAAUACUCAUACUUAGAAGCUUUUCAAUCCCAUAAAACUUAGGUACAUAAAAUUUGAGCAAUCUCAUAUUAGACAUAUUUGUGAAGGCUCCGGGGUCUAAAUUGAUGCCUUUUAUUUUGGACAAAUCCAAAAAUAUGCCUUCAAUUGCAUCAAUCCCCUUAUAUAAAAAAAAAAAAAACAAAGAAUGGGUAAGCUUAAAACUCAAAAGAAACAUUCGUAAACUUUACUAAGAGCUCCUUAAACAAAAACAAAUUCUGCAAUCUUUGAUUUAAUUUUUUUAAUAUAUUAAAUAUCUAUAUGUGAGAAAAGAAAAUUUUGGGGACCAUUGCAAAAUUCAACUAACUGAAAAAAAAAAUUCAAAAUUUCUCUAAUUUACAAACCUGUUAUCUUAAUAUCUAGAAGUUGAGAAGACAGGGCCUAUUUGAUUGGUAUAAGAUUUCGAUUUUUUUUUAGUCCAUAGAAUCCAAAAUGUUAGUUCAAAAUUAGGGAAAAAAGUCAUUUUUUUCCACCAACUGUAAUUGUAUCCAAGUCAAAUUGAGAUACGACCCUUUUCGAAAGGAUUUAACCAUCUUAUAGCCUCCUUAAGGUACAUUUAAGCUAAAAGGAGUGAUUGGAGGCAGUUCUAGGUGGGCCAAUCAGUCCAUUUUAUUAGUGACGUUUGCUUAAAAAAAAAAAUUAUACUCUAAAACACACUUUUUUUUUUUUAAAAAAAUAUAAUUAUAUUGAAGUAAAACCCGGUGGGCCAAUCCUCAUGGCACUCACUUUGUUCCGACACUCUUCACUAAAUUUGAAGAAAAAUAAAAUUAUACUCUUCACACUCUUAAUCAACAUUCCAAAAUUGAUUAAAUCUGGAGUUUUCUUUAAAAAUUUAAAAUUUGAAGAUUUGUUGUCUUGACACCCUCAGUCAUUAAUUUUACCUAAUUAUGGUUUUUAUGAUUUUGAUUGUUUUGUUCAUAAAAAUGCUUUUACUAAAGGAUGUUCUGGUAAUAAUAAAAUUUAUAAAAAACACAUGGGUGUGCUGGUAUGGUUGGAAAAAUAUGAGUGCAUAACUCCAAACAAAUAAAAGAUAUAUAAAAAAAAGAUGGAGGAUUCUUACCUUAUUAUGCUUUAGUACGCGGCGGAUUUCCUUAGGAUCCCACAACCUACUGCGUCUGCCUGGCUCUUCCUCAGAUUCUUGGCGAACAAUCUCUCGACCCAUUUCUUGCAAUAAAUCAUGCAUUUGCAAGCAGUUAUUUGACACUGUUAUGAGUGACUUGUCCACGAGGGCAUCUAGUUUGUGAGACCCAGAAUCAUCAAGUAUCCUCGACACAAAAUCUUUAUCCUCUCCCUCAAGGAAACACGCAAUAUCUAGAAACAUACUCUUCUGCUUGCGUGUUAAUUCAUUAAAACUAAUCUUUAAUAUAUCAUAAAUAUUAUGAAUAUCAGAUUCACAAAUCCGAUUUAAGUCGUUCAAUACAUUUUCCCAACGGCUUUUAUCCUUGAGGGAGGAACCCAACACUUUAAGAACUAAUGGAUUGCCAUCGGCAUACUCUACAACCCUCUGUGAGUGCCAGUUGAGAUCUUCAGCACAAUGCUUUUCUUUAAAAGCGAAGUUACAAAAAUGCUCGAAAGCCUCAUCAAAUUUCAAUCCAUUGACCCUAUAUAUUUUCUCCACUCCAAAUUUUUCGAGGACUCGUUUAUCCCUAGUGGUUACAACAAUUCUACUUCCUGGACCAUAUUGAUCAAGCCCUCCAAUCAAACCCUCUAAUUGUUCAUCUUUAUUCACAUCAUCAAGUGCAAUCAACACCUUCAUGCGUCGGAGCCUCCCUUUAGUAAAUUGUGGAAUGUUGGGACCAUCUACUUCAAGUUUUUCACUUAAUAUUGUCGAAAGCAUUUCCUUUUGUAGCUCUUCUAGGCCACCCCCUGUUUCUGAUUUUCUCCUAACAUUUUUUGCAAAGUAUUUUCCAUCAAACUCACCAGAGAAUUGAUCGAAAAUAGCUUCAGCAAGGGUGGUUUUGCCUAUACCACCCAUGCCCCAAAUUCCAACAAUUUGGACAGUAUCCCACAAAUCCAUGCACAGCAAUGGUUUAAUCUGCUCAAUUCGUGAAUUUAAUCCAACCAGGCCAUUGGAUGAGUCCGUUGAGACUGUUAUUUUUUCCAACUUCUUCAAAACAUCUUCGACAAUUUUGUUUACAAGUUGCGCAUCAUGCCUAAUAUGAAGGUGCAAAGAUGCAAAAACAUUGAGUCAAAUCGGGCCAACACAGAAACAGAGAUAAGAUGAAUUAGGAAAGAGAGUUACCUGAAUUUUGUGGAUUCGUGGCCAGCUAGAUGGGAUGUUUCUUUCAGUGCAUCCCUCCACUUUUGAACCAUUUCUGGUUUCUCUUUGAGCUGCUGUUCUAGCUUGUAAAAACCGUCCCCAAAAACUCCGGUUUGAUGCCGCACAUCAGAUGGACUUACUUCAUAGAAGACUGGAAUAAUAAUUUGGCCGUUUGUGUUCUUGCAUUCAAGAAUCUUGACAAGUUCAUUUAGGCACCAUUUUGAAGAAGCGUAGUCCUUUGAGAAAAUGACCACCGAAAUUUUUGAACCUUCGAUUGCGUUCAAAAGAGCAGGUGAAAUCUCAUCUCCUCGCCUAAGCUCUUCAUCAUCAAUAAACGUUUUGAUUUUCGUUCUUUCAUUCAAAUUAUAAUAGAGAUGGCAUGUAAAGCUCACGCGAGUGUCCUCUCCUCUGAAACUGAGGAAUACAUCAUAAUUGCAACAAGAAGAAGAGGAAGCCAUGAAGGAAAUUUUAGAAAUUUGGUGACAGAAACAGAGAAUUAAUCUUGAGAGUUGAGAGGGGAUAUGUAAGAAUGAAAAUGCGUAAAUAGUAAAUAAUUGAAUUAAUCUGGCGAGUACAUAGUAAAUAAUUGAAUGGCCGGGGCUUUCUUAGUUUCCUGGAAAUUUCCUGGAGCUUUCGUAUACAUGAUUUGUCAAGUCAAGAAACAUA
rnacentral:lncRNA from 1 species